CUGCUUAGAAGUGGUACAGCAUUACAUCCACUAUAUGCCUCCCCGGGGCUUAGGUGGAUACAACACAGAUGGCACGUUUUGAUGGACAGAAUGACAAGUGCAUACUGGGAGGGAAGGAAUAGGUGGUAUCAUCUUUGGAUACUGCUGACCACAGCAUCUUCCUGCCUAAAGAACAGGAAUCUGAAACAUAGCACCUACCUCUGAAGACACUAAACAAAAUGCACAAAAUGUCUAUUUGGACCAGAAGGAGCAUUUGAGACUGUCAGUGGCUGUCUUCAAGGGUUCAGAGAACUGAUGUGAUUCCCUCCUCUGCUAUAUUUCUGGAAAAGCAGUUCACCGACCAACUCUAACUAGAGGAAACUUGGGCUGACACUGAACAUUCACUUCGUGCUUUCCCAAAGCCUAAGGGAGCUUUGUGGAAGGGAGGCAUGAUCAAAUGGAAAGAACAUGGCUUUGAGCCUAACAAAGGGUUUAGACUCCUCCGCCUGCCAGAACAGUGAUUCCACCUCUCUUGGAACAGUCAUAUCUGCUGAGAAGUUUAAGGAAGGAACCUUGAGAAAGCAUCAGAGGUGGCUUUGGAGGUGGAAUCUGAAGAAACUAGAGGAGAGAAGAAAGGAAGAAUGGAUUACAAAAGAUGAGCAAGAUGCCUGGAAUUUCACACGUACAUCAUCUCUUUGGGUCACAGAGAAAGCCAUGCUUGAUUAACACUGAGGAUUGCGUACGACCUAUGGCUGGUGUCCAAUGACUUCUCCCAUUUUCAGAACACUUCUGUAAUGUUGCCGUCAGUGGUGAAUAUAUGACAUCCAAGGAAAGGUGAGGCCCUGACACUAAGAGGAAUACAAUGACCAGUCCAAGAGGACAACCCAGAACUGGACUUCUGGGGCCUGACUGAACUGGAUUGAGGUAUCGGACACACUUUUACAGAGGCUAUUUAGGAGGUAGAUUUUAUGAGCCUCAUUUUGCCAAUGAUAACACUAGGGCACAGAGAGGUUCAGCAACCCGCCCAAGGCCACACAGCCAGGAAGGAGCAGGAUCUGACCCCAGGCUGCCUGACUCUGGAGCCCAUGCUUGCAAACAUUCCACUGAACCAGGUCGUAAUCCCUGCUGAAUGAUUUCAGCUCUCCUGCUGUCUUCCCCCACCUCACUGUCUCUCGAUGGACGUUCACAUUUCCCGGCUGGCCCAGAAGCUGCGAUAGGGUGUUAUGAGCUGUUAGGUUAAGAGGGGUGAAGCCCUGUGAAAAGAAAACACACUUGCUCCCCUUCCUCAGCUGCGCUGGUCUUUCCUCCAGCUGAUCUUUCUCCUGUUAUAUAAAUGGAAUGUUAUACAAAUGUUUCCACCAUGAGUUUCCUUUCAAAAGAUGAAUAAAAGAAUGAGGCGUUUUGUUUUCCUUUGUUCC
rnacentral:lncRNA from 1 species